CUACGGGUGGCUCCAGGUACGAAACCUUUACAAUGCACGAAAGUGUGAUAAGGGAAUCCCAAGUGCUUAUGCACUGCAUAGGCUUUUUCUAAGAGUAAAAAUCUUAGAGAAUAAGUGGUGGGCAAGACGGGUGCCAGCCGCCGCGGUAACACCUGCGCCACAAGUUGCAACCAUUUUUAUUGGGUCUAAAGCGUCCGUAGCCGGUUUAAUAAAUUUUCUGUGAAAUUGGUCAGCUUAACUGAUCAACGUGCAGGAAAGACUGUUAGACUUGAAACUAGGAGAGGUUAAGAGUAUUUCUAGGGGAGCGGUAAAAUGUUAUAAUCCUAGAAGGACUGCCAAUGGCGAAGGCACUUAACCAGAAUAGGUUUGACGGUGAGGGACGAAAGCCAGGGGAGCGAUCCGGAUUAGAUACCCCAGUAGUC
rnacentral:rRNA from 1 species